CAAAGUUGAUCGUGUUUAUGACGUCGAAUUUCGACGUCAUAAACACCAAAGUUGAUCGUGUUUAUGACGUCGAAUAUCGACGUCAUAAACACCAAAG
rnacentral:miRNA from 1 species